CUUUUUAAAUUUUUUUUUCCUUUAAAAGUUUUAAUCCACCUUGUAACACCACCCAAAAAGAAGCGAAAUUAAGCUGCAGUGUGUACUAGGAGAGAAAACCUACUUUAUUUAUCACCCAGCCCUACUUCACCAUGCACUGACCUAAUUACAGCCCACACCAGGCUGGGUAGGAGGAGCAGCAGAAGGAGCGCUUCUGCCACCUAGUGAUCCCUGUCAAUCCCUUUGUGGAAUUGGCGUUUUCCUGUCCCCAGCGCUCGACAGCAAGCGACCUUCCCCAGCCAGCCUGCCUGGAUGCCGGGUUUAUCUGCACACCGCUCUCUUCUCCUCUUUUACGGCUCCAAAACAUCGCUCACGGAUGAAUUCUGACCUACGGCUGGCAACGCUCAGGAAGGCAGCUGUCCUGAACUCCUUUUAUACUUGCAAAACCCAAAUGAAAAAUGAGCAGGAAAAGGACCAUAAUGAUAAUGAUCAACUCAUGAUUACUAAAUGAAAGUGAGAGUUAAAUUAAAGGAG
rnacentral:lncRNA from 1 species